UGUAUAAUGGGUCAGCGACUUAUAUUCUGUAGCAAGGUUAACCGAAUAGGGGAGCCGAAGGGAAACCGAGUCUUAACUGGGCGUUAAGUUGCAGGGUAUAGACCCGAAACCCGGUGAUCUAGCCAUGGGCAGGUUGAAGGUUGGGUAACACUAACUGGAGGACCGAACCGACUAAUGUUGAAAAAUUAGCGGAUGACUUGUGGCUGGGGGUGAAAGGCCAAUCAAACCGGGAGAUAGCUGGUUCUCCCCGAAAGCUAUUUAGGUAGCGCCUCGUGAAUUCAUCUCCGGGGGUAGAGCACUGUUUCGGCAAGGGGGUCAUCCCGACUUACCAACCCGAUGCAAACUGCGAAUACCGGAGAAUGUUAUCACGGGAGACACACGGCGGGUGCUAACGUCCGUCGUGAAGAGGGAAACAACCCAGACCGCCAGCUAAGGUCCCAAAGUCAUGGUUAAGUGGGAAACGAUGUGGGAAGGCCCAGACAGCCAGGAUGUUGGCUUAGAAGCAGCCAUCAUUUAAAGAAAGCGUAAUAGCUCACUGGUCGAGUCGGCCUGCGCGGAAGAUGUAACGGGGCUAAACCAUGCACCGAAGCUGCGGCAGCGACGCUUAUGCGUUGUUGGGUAGGGGAGCGUUCUGUAAGCCUGCGAAGGUGU
rnacentral:rRNA from 1 species